UUCAGAGCAAGAUCAAGCACAGUGAGCAGAUGGGAUGCAAAGAAGAAAGCCCAUUUAAAAUACAGAUCUCUUUCAUAAAGAAGAAAAGAGUGCAGGCGCAGAGAUUGAAAGGGCCUCAUUUUUAAGUAUGACAUAUUCAAAAGAUUAUUCUACCAUGAACAUCUAUUUAAGGCUAGAUCUGCAAUACAAGUGCAGUUUAUGAUAGAGGACUCUCGUUUCUCAUAAUUCCCACCCAGCCUGGUAACAGGAGCAAGUUCCAGAUGGGCGAGUCCCUUGAAACAUACAUCUCUGCACAGCUUGAGUGCCCAUAUGCUCUAACUAUGGAGAUAGAUAACAAGG